CUGACUGGUAGAGGCUGCGACGCGCGCUCCCGUACUCGGGCACCUGGGACGCGCAGAGCCAGUGGUGCGACCGACUAUUGGUUCC
rfam:Deinococcus maricopensis DSM 21211, complete genome.